rnacentral:rRNA from 1 species
UUGAACGCUGGCGGCAGGCCCUAACACAUGCAAGUCGAGCGGAAUUGAAGGGAGCUUGCUCUCUGAUUCAGCGGCGGACGGGUGAGUAAUGCCUAAGAAUCUGCCUGGUAGUGGGGGGACAACGUCUCGAAAGGGACGCUAAUACCGCAUACGUCCCUACGGGGAGAAAGCAGGGGACCUUCGGGCCUUGCGCUAUCAGAUGAGCCUAGGUCGGAUUAGCUAGUUGGUGAGGGUAAUGGCUCACCAAGGCGACGAUCCGUAACUGGUCUGAGAGGAUGAUCAGUCACACUGGAACUGAGACACGGUCCAGACUCCUACGGGGAGGCAGCAGUGGGGAAUAUUGGACAAUGGGCGAAAGCCUGAUCCAGCCAUGCCGCGUGUGUGAAGAAGGUCUUCGGAUUGUAAAGCACUUUAAGUUGGGAGGAAGGGUUUGUAGAUUAAUACUCUGCAAUUUUGACGUUACCGACAGAAUAAGCACCGGCUAACUCUGUGCCAGCAGCCGCGGUAAUACAGAGGGUGCAAGCGUUUAAUCGGAAAUUACUGGGCGUAAAGCGCGCGUAGGUGGUUUGUUAAGUUGGAUGUGAAAGCCCCGGGCUCAACCUGGGAACUGCAUUCAAAACUGACAAGCUAGAGUAUGGUAGAGGGUGGUGGAAUUUCCUGUUGUAGCGGUGAAAUGCGUAGAUAUAGGAAGGAACACCAGUGGCGAAGGCGACCACCUGGACUGAUAUUGACACUGAGGUGCGAAAGCGUGGGGGAGCAAACAGGAUUAGAUACCCUGGUAGUCCACGCCGGUAAACGAUGUCAACUAGCCGUUGGGAGCCUUGAGCUCUUAGUGGCGCAGCUAACGCAAUUAAGUUGACCGCCCUGGGGGAGUACGGCCGCAAGGUUUAAAACUCAAAUGAAUUGACGGGGGCCCGCAACAAGCGGUGGAGCAUGUGGUUUUAAUUCGAAGCAACGCGAAGAACCUUACCAGGCCUUGACAUCCAAUGAACUUUCCAGAGAUGGAUUGGUGCCUUCGGGAACAUUGAGACAGGUGCUGCAUGGCCUGUCGUCAGCUCGUGUCGUGAGAUGUUGGGUUAAGUCCCGUAACGAGCGCAACCCUUGUCCUUAGUUACCAGCACGUAAUGGUGGGCACUCUAAGGAGACUGCCGGUGACAAACCGGAGGAAGGUUGGGGAUGACGUCAAGUCAUCAUGGCCCUUACGGCCUGGGCUACACACGUGCUACAAUGGUCGGUACAGAGGGUUGCCAAGCCGCGAGGUGGAGCUAAUCCCAUAAAACCGAUCGUAGUCCGGAUCGCAGUCCGCGACUCGACUGCGUGAAGUCGGAAAUCGCUAGUAAUCGCGAAUCAGAAUGUCGCGGUGAAUACGUUCCCGGGCCUUGUACACACCGCCCCGUCACACCAUGGGAGUGGGUUGCACCAGAAGUAGCUAGUCUAACCUUCGGGAGGACGGUUACCACGGUGUGAUUCAUGACUGGGGUG